UACGUAGGGUCCGAGCGUUGUCCGGAAUUAUUGGGCGUAAAGGGCUCGUAGGGGGUUCGGCACGUCGGGGGUGAAAACUCGGAGCUUAACUCCGAGCCUGCUUCCGAUACGGGCAGACUAGAGGUAGGCAGGGGAGAGCGGAACUCCUGGUGUAGCGGUGGAAUGCGCAGAUAUCAGGAGGAACACCAGUGGUGUAGACGGCGUUCUGGACGGUUACUGACGCUGAGAUACGAAAGCGUGGGGAGCAAACAGG
rnacentral:rRNA from 1 species